UACGUAGGGUGCGAGCGUUGUCCGGAAUUAUUGGGCGUAAAGAGCUCGUAGGCGGUCUGUCGCGUCGAUCGUGAAAACUUGGGGCUUAACCCUGAGCUUGCGGUCGAUACGGGCAUGACUGGAGUUCGGCAGGGGAGACUGGAAUUCCUGGUGUAGCGGUGAAAUGCGCAGAUAUCAGGAGGAACACCGGUGGCGAAGGCGGGUCUCUGGGCCGAUACUGACACUGAGGAG
rnacentral:rRNA from 1 species